AAGAUUAGAGACAUCUGAACCGUCUAAUUGUACUAAAUGUCUCCCGCUUUCAUCCAGCCAUCCGUCCGAUCCACCUACUCAAAAUCUCCUAAACGCGGAUUACUUUCCAAAAUCAACGUCAAGAAUAAUAAAACUAUCAUGCCAGAUAAGGAAGUAAAUAACCAGUAUUAGUUGUGAGAUAGCCACAAUCACGCGAUAGGCAGGAUCAAAUAAUCGCCACAAUCAAUUAGUAGAUUGAUUCCUCACGGAUAGCUCCUAUUACCAAGGAAAAACGGGAGCACUGCAGGCUAACUCAUCGGAGUGGAGGCGUCUGUGUAUUCCCCUCCUCUUGGUGGCCAGCCGCCAUACUCGUGGUCUCGUAGUCUCGUGGUCUCUCCGGUGGUCGCAUCCGCCACGGUGAGCAGCAGAGGACAGGGGCAAGCGAGCCAAGACCAGCGUACACGAGGCCUGGUAUCCUCCGGAUCGCGUGUUCCAGUCCUCACUCGUCCUUUCUAGCCUCUCUGCCUUCUUCCCUCUGAAAUCCCCCUCCAUCAUCUCCAGGGAGCUCGUAUUGGUUGGGUUGCAUUGCACCGGCGUUGCUUUUUUCUGCUCGCGUUGGGUUGUGGGCCUGGGAGAGGUGGUUUGAUUGGUGUUCGGAUUACCAACUGAUUAAUCUCGAGUCGCCGACGCUGGGGUUUAGUCGGACAACAUUUGUGGGCCAAACAUGAUCUUUCAUUUGCUCAUAGUUUGUGACUGUGCCAGGUCACGCUACAAGUUGGAUCAUCCAGUUUGCUUAACGAAAUUGGGAGCAGCUCCUGCUAAAAAUUAUUCUGAGAGAGGAUAAGAUGAUAUUUACCCCUAAUGAUCCACGCCCUCUAAUGAAGCUCAAUGUCGAUUUUCGGACCAUCAAAGGUGACAAGUUCAACAAAGUAGAUGGCAGCAAACCAACACAACAAUUAUUGAAUCUUUUAAAAGAUCCUGACAAGGGCGGUGGCUACAUAUUUGAGUUUGAUAAUGUUGGUAACGGUGAUUCAUGUCCUGACUUUGUAGGUAAUGCUCAUUCAGUGUAAUCCAUUUGCUACAAUCUUUUGCGUCAGACUUGGUUUUAGUACGCUGUUAUGCAAAAAAAUAUGUAUCACAUAUUUAUAUUAUGAACCCUUUCAAUAUUAUGAACCCUUUCAAAAAUAUGCAGUGGUUAAUUCGAUAUGUGUAUUGAAUAUUUUAUCACGUUCAAUAAUUGUCAUGUACCCUUUAUAUGGUCUUUGGCCCUGUACUUGCUCUUAUUCAGGCAAUUCUUCCCUUUGCUCUAAUUCAGUCCACCAAUUGGUCUCACACUUUCUGCCUUUUCUACUGAUUUGAAGACAACCAUGAAGAAAUCUCAUGUGGACAGAUUGAAAGCUUAUAUUACUUCUGCUUAUACUACUCUACUAUUGGUAGUCAUGUGUGUAUGCUACCUUUAUCACUGUUUGGGAGUACUCUAUUUUUAAGCAGCUCCAUCUCAGAGGUUACCUUCUCAUCUAUAUGCCCAAGAAAAUUCUCAAAACAUAUGAUAAAAUGGAAUCAUGGAUGACAGUUAGAAUAAUUAGUUUUUUCCUACCUAUAUGAUAGGUAAAUUAAAUAUUUUGAUAUUAUCUAAAGAACUUCAAUAUAAAUUUACAUCACUUCAAGGAAAUUCAAAUUAUUGUAUUUUACUUGAUUAAUAUGUAAUUCAUAGCUUAUCAUGAGCACUUCAGUUUUAAUGAAUGUUAUGAUGGAUAACUAUUUUCAUGAAUAGAAAUCUGAGGAGACAUGUAGACAAAAGGGGAAUUGACUUAUUUCUUCAAUGGUCUUAAAUGGAACUAGGCAUGCUUUGGACAAUUAAUUAUGGGGAAUACAUGCAAUGCUAUUCUGGAAUUUCUGAGGGAUAUUUCUUGCCUUUUAAGAUGGUUAUUCUAGAAGUUUGGAUGCAACACCAAGUAGCUGCAAGUAGCAAUGAGUCUAUGGUGGUGCAUUGGGAAUUUGGGAUUUUAUCAACUGGACACAGAUUUGGGUUACAGAAAUUCAAAGAUAAUUUGAUUGGAGUGUUGGUAAUUUGAUUGAUCCUGCUUGUUACCUGAUCCCAUCAUGAAACUGGGUUUCGUGUUUUAGCUAAUGGAGAGUGCGAUAUAUCUAUUGGGGCAUUUUAAUGUAUUUCUUUAUCUGCGUAUGUGACAGGGCUAUAUCCUACAUAGGGGAUUAUUGAUAUGGUUUCGUCUCUAAAGGUAUUCUCAACAGAUGAUAUUUUGCUUGAAAAUAUGACUUGCUUCUGAUGGUUAUACGGUUAUGCCAUACUGGCAGGUAUAAGGACUAUUGUUAUUGAGUUUUUAGUGGACGGUGUAAUAUUCUUUUUAUGGUAUGCACACAUCAAAGAAAUGAGAUAACUAUGUUUAAAUAUUUGAAGCUUACAUGACAAUUGUGGAUGCAGAUGUCAAAGAGUGCGAUGCCAGUUUUUGUAGCCCGACGUUGGCUUAUUUCCACAUUUUAAUUAUUCAGUUAAUUACUAUGUAUACUGCAAUAGCUAGCUUGACCGACCAGACAAUUCUUAUUUAAUGAUGGUUUUCUGUACGAGUCAAAUCUAAAAGCCAUCGAUUUUCCUUAAUCUUUGAUCUGGUAAAUUCGUUUAUAUAUUAUGUGUAUGCAGCUGGUGCCAUCAUCAAAUCAUAUAUAACUUCUGAUGUUGCUUUGGAUUGUUAACUACACAUUUUAUUAAGUAGAAUCAAGAAUUGUGCAUCGCGUUAAAGGGAUUAUAUUAUGAUUGUACUAUCGCUCCAUGUGUUGAAACUCUUCGGCUACUUGUGCUAAAGCAUUGGAUGAGUGGAGACAAAUAAUUAAGUGAUAGAUAGUU